rnacentral:rRNA from 1 species
GACGAACGCUGGCGGCGUGCUUAACACAUGCAAGUCGAACGGAAAGGCCCUUCGGGGUACUCGAGUGGCGGACGGGUGAGUAACACGUGGGUGAUCUGCCCUGCACUUUGGGAUAAGCCUGGGAAACUGGGUCUAAUACCGAAUAUGAUCAUCAGCUUCAUGGUUGGUGGUGGAAAGCUUUUGCGGUGUGGGAUGGGCCCGCGGCCUAUCAGCUUGUUGGUGGGGUAAUGGCCUACCAAGGCGACGACGGGUAGCCGGCCUGAGAGGGUGACCGGCCACGCUGGGACUGAGGUACGGCGCAGACUCCUACGGGGGGCAGCAGUGGGGAAUAUUGCACAAUGGGCGCAAGCCUGAUGCAGCGACGCCGCGUGAGGGAUGACGGCCUUCGGGUUGUAAACCUCUUUCAGCACAGACGAAGCGCAAGUGACGGUAUGUGCAGAAGAAGGACCGGCCAACUACGUGCCAGCCGCCGCGGUAAGAC